rnacentral:lncRNA from 1 species
UUGGCAGGAAGUAGCUUUGUUGAAGAUUAUUCUAGGAAUUCCAUAUCCUAUUCGUCCAUUGAGGAAGGUAGAUGAGCUUCUGGUAGAUCAGUUUAAUUCUAAUUGUAGUAAAAUUCUCUUGUAAAGGUUAUUAUUAUCUCUUUAAAAAUAUGAUAUAUUUAGUGUUGAUAUCAUCUUAUUUUCUAUGGUGGUUCAUUGUUUUUUUUUUUUUUCUUUUCAAAUUAUUUGAAUGCAACAAUGAUGGUUAAAGAAAUCAAUAAUUCAGCGGAGUCAAAUCUAAGGAUCUGUCUAAGCUUUACCCCACAAUAAAUCUAAACAAAUAUGUGCUUUUUAUUUAUUUAUUCAAUUGCUGUACUAUUUCAUCUUCUUGUUCUUUUAUAAAAUGAGAAAUCAGAUUGUCUUGUUUAUUAACAGCAUGUCUCUUGGUUCAUCAUUUCGCAGUUGUCUCAGUUCAUCAUCUGUUUUUCAAAUCAAAUUAUGUUGGUCCUAUACAAAAGAUUUCCAAUUAUUUUUAAUUAUAAAAGGCUAGUCAGCUUUUAUUGAAAUAUUUUCUUUUCAAAAAACAAAGAUGCUUUGAGAUUAUGUUUCAGAUAUUGUAUUUAAAUAUGUAGGAAUAUACUUUAGUUGAAUCUCGAUACUCAUGAUAAUAAUACGAUAAUAAUCAUAUCCUUCUAAUACAACAUACACACAAAUUACAUUUAAUUAAAAUAAAUAUAUAUAAGAUUUUUACAAUAAUAAUCAUAUUAAUUAAAUACAACAUAUCAAUAAAUUUAGUGCGAUACAAACCACCACCCCAUCUAUUCAAAUAUUAAAUAUAAGUCCUACCAUAGAACAUUUAUAAUGUAAUAUGUAUCAUAAUAUAAUGAAAUGUAUGCCCAUAUUUUGGGAGGUAAAAACAUAAACAACUGCAUUCUCGUUUAUAAAAGUAGAUAACUACCACUUAUUUAGUCAUUUAUCAAUUGAGACGUCAUGUAAAAUGCUUUAUAAUGAAAUACCAAAACUCUAAACUCUAAAUAUAUAUACAAAUCAAAUUGAAGUUUACAAAAUGUAAAAGAUACAUGAAAAAAUUUAAAUUGCUAGAUUUAUUUAGUACCGACAUUCCUCUUUAUUAAUUAAAGCAUGUAAACUUUAAUAUAUUGAUAAAUGUUGAAUAGCCUUUAAAACUAUGAAAAUUUUGCCCUAAUCGUUGCCGAUAGGGAAUGUAUCCAACAAUGCAUGAGGUAAUUCUAAUAGCAAGAAUGAACUCUCUACAACAACCCUAUCAUCAAUUGAAACGCCUAUUAAUAACACUAUAUCUUUCAGCACUUUCAAGGUUCUUCACUAUGAAUCAUGGGAUUCCAUCGUUCAACUAUAGAGAAAUUGCACAAAAAAAAAUGUCCAUUUUGAUAAUUGUAUAUGAAAAAAUUUUAAAAGUGCAAAAUAAUUCAAGAGCUAGAUGCAUCUAAAGUCAAAUUAUAACAUGAUAGAAUAAUUCAAUUUUCUAUCUAAUAACAAUCGUAAAAGGAACAAUAGUUGUUAUUUAUUGCAAUCUAAACAAAACUAAAUAAUAACGUAGCAAUUUUACGGAUUGAAAAUAUAUUUUGAUAUUGUAAUUCUAAUAAAACCAUAUCAAACUUUGGAAGCUUUGGUUUACUUAGGGUGGUUUAGAUUUUUUUGGUAGGAGAGAUUAGGGAUUGUAGUAAGGGGUAUUGUGAAAUUUGAAAAGAACAAAAAGAACAAAACAAAAAUCAAUGUCAUAGACUGAGGUUGACACUGAUAAGUCUAUGCCAUUUGGACGGUUGGACAAUGUGAUAAUAAAUGUUGAAUCACUCUCAUCACCUACAUUAUUGAUUCUACUGCUUAUUGGGAAGUCUUACAUCUCAUCAAGCGUUUGAAGUCUUUUGCAUCCUUGCUUCGAAAGGCUUCAUCAUUCAGCUAUGUUUGUUUUUUUGGAAAUUAUUUUCGGAAAAUAACUUAAAAAUAAUAUAAUUUUAUGAAAACAUUAUAUUCUUUUUGGUGUUUACAUAAUGCUACCGAAAACAUUAUCCAUUGUUUGAUUAAUUUUAUUCAACUCAUUUUUCGGAAAUUAUUUUUAAUUAAACACAAUAAGUGUUUUCAGAAUACCAAAAAAAAAUCAUUAAUUAAUUUAGAAAGCUAAAUUUAAAUAGUAAUAUAAAUCAAUAAACAUUACAAAACAAGGAUGGCUUUGAAACCUGGUGCAAUGUUGAACAUGAAUCCAAUAUUUUGAGUGAAUCAUUCCAUGUCUCCUUCGUUUCCAAUAUAAACAAAGGUUGGGUAAUUCUUCUUUGGGACACCCCCAAUAAGUGUCAUCGAUUAAACAUUUUUACUGAAAUUUUAGGUAACUCAUUGGAUUGAAGUUGAAAUGAUUGAGAAUUUGGGCUAAAUAGUUUUCUCUGUAAAGCUUAUUACUGCUACUUUUUCUAGCGAGCACCACAUACGUUUGCUCUAGUGGCUGAAGAAGUAAAUCUAGAAGCAAAUUUAGCAGAAGAUACUAAAAAACACAAACAAGAAAAAAUAGAGAAAAUCCCAAAAAUAUAAGAUCAAAUUUGCGUUUAUCCUCAUGAUUUUGAUGAACUUCUCGGGGGUUUUUUUUUCUAUCUUGAAGGGUGAAGGGACAAACAAAAUCUUAAAAAGGGAAAAGGCUACUUUUCUUUUUUGAUGUGGGUACUUACCGGAGAAAGAGAAGAUGAGAGCACAGGUUAGUGCCAGAGAGAGGCUGCCGAAAGAGGAGUGAUGAAGCGCGAGAGAGGAACCCGUGUUUCGGAGGAAUGUAAGAUGGCUUACAGAAAAUGUGUUGACCAACAAUACAGUUUAUAGUGACUUGCUCCAUUUUCCACCAUCAAAUCAAACACAGGAAAUUUUGGAUAAUGUUUUCCAGAAAAUAUUUUCCUUGAAACAAACAGACCCUCAAUAUCAAAAGAAUCUCCCCAUCUAACUCACACCAUUAAAGCCAAAAAAAACACAUUUCCAUUAAUAAUAUUAAAAAAUCCCUACCUGAGCCAAGACAA